rnacentral:rRNA from 1 species
ACAUGCCAGAGAGCGCUGACGCCAGAUAGCUUGCUAUUUUUAUGACGAGCGGCGAACGGGUGAGUAACGCGUGGGAAAUCUGCCGAGUAGCGGGGGACAACGUUUGGAAACGAACGCUAAUACCGCAUAACAAUGAGAAUCGCAUGAUUCUUAUUUAAAAGAAGCAAUUGCUUCACUACUUGAUGAUCCCGCGUUGUAUUAGCUAGUUGGUAGUGUAAAGGACUACCAAGGCGAUGAUACAUAGCCGACCUGCGAGGGUGAUCGGCCACACUGGGUACUGAGACACGGCCCAGACUCCUACGGGAGGCAGCAGUAGGGAAUCUUCGGCAAUGGGGGCAACCCUGACCGAGCAACGCCGCGUGAGUGAAGAAGGUUUUCGGAUCGUAAAACUCUGUUGUUAGAGAAGAACGUUAAGUAGAGUGGAAAAUUACUUAAGUGACGGUAUCUAACCAGAAAGGGACGGCUAACUACGUGCCAGCAGCCGCGGUAAUACGUA